CAGCAUGAAAGCACUGAUUCCCAUAUGAUCACAAGUUAAGCAAUGUCAAGCCAGGUCAGUACCUAGAUGGGUGGUUGCUUGGAAAUACCAGGUGUUGUAA